AUUACUAGCUCCACCUGCAUUUUACAGAAGACGAGUGACGCGCCCUAGCAAGUGGCAGAGCCGGGACUCGCCCUCUCGCCCAGCUCUGCUCUGGAAACCUCCUGAGUCCUGCUCCUUUGCUCAGUUCUUACUUCCCUGGAGUUAAAAUCUAGAAGAGAGGACAGUGGAGAAACAGUGGAACAUGACAAGGAAUUCUUCCACCCACGCUACCACCAUCGAGAGUUCCGGUUUGAUCUUUCCAAGAUCCCAGAAGGGGAAGCUGUCACGGCAGCCGAAUUCCGGAUCUACAAGGACUAUAUCCGGGAACGCUUCGACAAUGAGACAUUCCGGAUCAGCGUUUAUCAGGUGCUCCAGGAGCACUUGGGCAGGGAAUCAGAUCUCUUCCUGCUCGACAGCCGCACCCUCUGGGCCUCGGAGGAGGGCUGGCUGGUGUUUGACAUCACAGCCACCAGCAACCACUGGGUGGUCAAUCCGCGGCACAACCUGGGCCUGCAGCUCUCGGUGGAGACGCUGGAUGG
rnacentral:sRNA from 1 species